UUUCUCCUGGAAACGGGUGGUAAUGCCGGAUGUUCCAGAUGACCGCAUGGUCCUCUGGGAAAGCUUUUGCGGUAUGGGAUGGGGUCGCGUCCUAUCAGCUUGAUGGCGGGGUAACGGCCCACCAUGGCUUCGACGGGUAGCCGGCCUGAGAGGGCGACCGGCCACAUUGGGACUGAGAUACGGCCCAGACUCCUACGGGAGGCAGCAGUGGGGAAUAUUGCACAAUGGGCGCAAGCCUGAUGCAGCGACGCCGCGUGCGGGAUGACGGCCUUCGGGUUGUAAACCGCUUUUGACUGGGAGCAAGCCCUUCGGGGUGAGUGUACCUUUCGAAUAAGCACCGGCUAACUACGUGCCAGCAGCCGCGGUAAUACGUAGGGUGCAAGCGUUAUCCGGAAUUAUUGGGCGUAAAGGGCUCGUAGGCGGUUCGUCGCGUCCGGUGUGAAAGUCCAUCGCUUAACGGUGGAUCCGCGCCGGGUACGGGCGGGCUUGAAUGCGGUAAGGGAAACUGGAAUUCCCCGGGUAACGGUGGAAUGUGUAUAUAUCCGGAAAAACACAAA
rnacentral:rRNA from 1 species